CUCCAUUCUUUCUUCUCCUCUGGGUAUGAAACCCUCCGCCAUCCACAACCGUAUUAUGUCAUCAGCAUCGACCACUCGAUCUUCUGGAAAAAUACCAAAGUAGAGAAAACACUGCUUGAGCGCAGUUGACAAAUCAUUGUAGCUUAAGGAUAGUAUGUUAGAGAUUUCGAUAGAUUUAUCUUCUUUAAUAUUCUUCCAAAGGUGAUCUUUCACCUUUUGCCAUUCGUUUAGCCCCUUUUUAUGCGAAAGUAGUCCGCUCAAUACAACAAUCGCAAGAGGUAAGCCUCUACACUUUUCCACCAUAUCCUUAGC